rnacentral:lncRNA from 1 species
AAGAAUUUGGAACCCAUGCUAUAUGAUAAACCAUAAAAAGGUACAUAUUUUAGGAGGUUCAAAAGAGAGAAAACUUUUUUUUAUUGUUUAAAGAUAUAAUGUGUUAAAAUUUUCCCAAUCUUGGAAGAAAUACAGACAUUCAGUUUUAUGAGGCUCAAAAUAUCAGUAGCAAGAAGAACUUGAUAAAAAACUUGCCCAGGACACAAUUAUAAUUAAACUGCCAAAAAUUCAAAGACAAUGGGAGAUUCUUAAAAGAAGCAAGAAAAAGAGAUUCUUCUCAUAUAAGGGAACAUCUAUAAGGUUAUCAGUAAAUUGCUCAGCAGAAACCAUGCAAGCCACACAGAAGUGAGACCGUAUAUUUAAAGUGCAAAUGAACAGAGAAAAAGAAAAAACGUUGACAAAUAAGGAGACUAUACCUGACAAAACUGUCCUUUACAAAUGAAGUAUCAAUCAAGAUAUUCUCAGAUUAAAAAAUAAGUUGAGGGAAUUUAUAAUCACUAGACCUGUCUUACAAAAAAAUGUUAAUGAGAAUUUUUCAAGUUAUAAGGAUGGAAUCCUAACUUACAGCAAGAAAACAUAUAAAAGUAUAAAUCUUACUGGAAAACAUAUAUAUAUAUAUAUAUAUAUAGAAGGCUAUAUCACUAAUUAUGGUGCAUAAAUCACUUUUAACUCUGAUAUAAGUUACAAAAAAAGCAUUAAAACACAUAUAGCUUCAGUAUAUUUGUUAACAGGUACACAAUAUUAAAAAAAAGUAAAGGGUGACAUAAAUAGUGUGUUAAAGGAAGUAAAAUUGUUUAAUUUUUCUAUACAUAGAAGGUAACUUUUGCUUGAGGCCUGGAGUUCAAAACCAGCCUGGUCAAUAUAGCGGGACUCUGUCUCUAAAAUAAAUACAUGAAUAAAAUAAAAUAAAGAUCUCACAAAGCUGUUUGGUUUUUUUAAAAAAAGAAGCACUGGGUGUGAUGUCUCAUGCAUGUAAUCCUAGCACUUGGAGAGGCCAAGGCAGGUGGAGUGCUUGAACCCAGGAGUUCAAGACCAGCCUGAGCAACAUGGCAAAACCCUGCCUCUAUAUAAAGUACAAAAAAAAGUAGACAGACUUGUGCUUGUAGUCCCAGCUACUCAGGAGGGUAAGGUGGGAAGAUUGCUUGAGCCUGGGGAGGUCGAGGCUGCACUAAGCUGUGAAUGUACUGCACUUCAGCCUGAGUAACAAAGGAAGACCCUAUCUGUACAAAAAAAGAAGUUACAUUGUUAUCUCAAGCUAGACUUUUAUAACUAUGAGAUGUUUUAUGUAAGUCUCUUGGAAAUUAAAAUAAAAAUGGCAGUAGAUACAAAAGAAAAAGAAUCAAAGCAUAUAAGAAAAACAAAACAAAAAUUCAAGAAAACGCAAGGGAAGAAAGCAUGAAAGAAUUAAAACACAGAAACUACUAACUGGUCAGAAAACAAUGAACAAAAUGGCAGUAAUAAGUUCUCAUCAAUAAUUCCUCUAAAUAGAAAAACAUUUACUUAUCCAGUGAAAACAUAUUGCUAUUGUUUGAGUGUCCCUCCAAAAUUUAUGUUAAUAUUUAACUGCCACUGUGAGAAAAUGAAGUGAGCCCCUUAAGAAGCUAUUAGGUUAUGAGAGCUCUACUCUCAUGAAAGGGUUAGUAUCAUUAUUCCCACACUGGGAAUUAGUGGUUCGAAGAUGAAAAAGAAUAUUCCAUGCCAAUAACUAAAAAAGUGUACGAGUGGCUAUAUCAAACAAAAGAGACAUAUAGAAAAAAAAAAUCUGUCACAAAAAAAACUUUGCAUAUGAUGGGGUCUUAUAUUUGAAAAAACCUACUUCACUAAAACACCAUUAGAACUCAUACAUUUAGUCAAGAUACAGGAUUAAAAAAUUAGUGUUUCUACAUGCCAACAGUGAACAAUGUGAAAAUCAAACCAAGAGAGUAAUUCCAUUUACGGUAGCCACAAAUUAAAAUUAAAUACCAGGAAUGAACUUAACCAAAGAAGUGAAAGAUCUCUAUGAUGAAUACUAUAAAACAUCGAUGCAAGAAAUUAAACAAGAGAAAAAAAAGGAAAGAUAUUUUAUGUUCAUGAAUAGGAAGGAUCAGUAUUAUUAAAAUUUUCAUACUACCCAAAAUGAUCUACAGAUUUAAUGCAAUUCCUAUCAAAGCAUCAAUGACAUUCUUCACAGAAAUAGGAAAAACAAUCUUAUAAUGUAGACAGACCCAUAAAAGACUCAAAAUAGCCAAAGCCAUUGUACCAGAAAAGAAACUGGAGGAAUCAUAGUAUUUGAAUUUAAAUGAUACAACAGAGCUACCGUAAUUAAAAUGGCAUAAAACUGAUCAGUAAAACAGUAGAGCGAAUGCAGAGAUAAAUCCAUAUUACAGCAAACUUCUUUUUGACAAAGCUGUCAGGAAUAUAUUGUUACCGCUAGAAAGUAUCCGGGUUCUUGGCAUCUUGAACAAAGAAUUGGACAAAAUACACAAAGCAAGGAAGGAAUAAAAGGAUUUACUAAAAAUGAAAGUACACUCCACAGUGCGGGCCCGAGCAUAGGGGCUCGAAGGCCCCCUUACAGAAUUUUUGGGAGCUUAAAUACCACCUAGAGUAUUCCAUUGGUUACUUUGGGUAUGCCCAACGUAAAUGGAGAGGGUGAAGUAAAUUUAGUUAUUAACGGUGGAUGCCCUAUGGAGAGGAUAUUUCCUGUUAUAGCUGAAGUGUGAAUUGGGCUUAUGGUCCCUGCCUCCAGACCGUUUUCCUGCCUCAUGUCCCCCGAGAGAUGUGAUCCCCAUAAAUCCUUAUAGGAGACGGGGGGGUCAACGGUCUUUUUCUUUCUGUAACUGCUUUAUGCUGGCUUGGGGCAUAGUCCCUGUCUAUUGGGGAUCACAGUACUCUCGCCCUGUUCUGUCUAGUGGAGGCAGGGUAGUUUCUUGAUGGCCAGGGGUGUGUUUUCACCUGGAACUGGCUGGAGAUUUCACUGCAUGAUCAGUGAAGCUUGAUGGUCUCUAGGCAAGAGCAAACGUGUUUGGUUAAAAGAUAUAAUGGGGGUGGAUACCUAUGCUGUUAAGAAUGUUUGUUACAGAGAUUUGCAGGAGAAAAAAAACCUGAUUUGUUCUAGAAUUUAUGUGUUUCCUUAAAGUCUUGGCACAAGCAACUCCAUUUUGUUUUGGUCUGUUGGUGCCUAGUGUAUGAGCUUAGUCCAAAACAAUGGCAUCCCAGAAUUUUGUUUAAAAACUUCCCCCUUGGCCGUGCACACUGGCUCACGCCUGUAAUCCUAGCACUUUGGGAGGCUAAGGCAGGUGGAUCACAAGGUCAGGAGUUCAAGAUCAGCCUGGACAAAAUGGUGAAACCCCGUCUCUACUAAAAAUAGAAAAAUUAGCCAGGCGUGGUGGUAGGCACUAAUCCCAGCUACUUGGGAGGCUGAGGCAAAGAAUUGCUUGAACCUGGGAGGCAGAGGUUGCAGUGAGCCAAGAUUACACCACUGCACUCCAGUCUGGGUGACAGAGACUCCGUCUCAAACAAAACAAAACGAAAUUCCCCCUUUUUGGUUAGGUUCUCACUUAGAUUAGUGUGUGUCCAAAAUUUAGGGCCUUAGAGCCACUCUCAGUUACCAUCAUUUUGGAUUUCUGGUCUCAGCACAUUAUUUAUAGGUUACGGUGUUCUCAUGGUUGCACGUUUCUUUUAGCUUCUGUUAUUCUAGUUGAAGAGAGACCAUAUGACAUCCUAGAGAUGGCUGCAUGCAAGCAUUUAAAACCUUUGAGAGAAUACAGCACACAAGGGAGACUAUUAUUAUGACUAUUGGGAGGAAAAUACCAAGAGUUCACAGUAUGCUCCUUACUCAAGGUUUCCAUAAACCAAACCUCGUAAAAUUAAAUAGAUCAAAGAAUGAGCCAGAUAAAGAGUUUACUUACUUAACUAAGCAAUUUCUUUGUUAAUCCCCUACCACUGAAUUUCUAUAAUCUUCAUUUGAUGUAUUUCUCCAUAAGCCACAAGUGCCAGCAGCUGCACAGGUACCUCUUUGUUUAGUCAAUUCUAUUAUAACUUUCACAAAAGAAUUUAAAGUCUAUUGUGUAACUGUAGCCUUUACAGUAGAAUUUGCUAUAGAGCCUAUCAUGAGGGAUACCUUUUUAAAUCAUUGCUUCUUUUACUUUAAACCAUGGGAAAGGACCUAACAAAUGAUGCCCCUCUAGAAGAGUGAAGGCCUCCUGGCAAUGGUCUCUUUAGCCCACGGUGUGGGUUAACAGGAGUGAACCAAUGUUUUGUUUUUGGACUGAUUAUGAGGCAAUGUAUGUACCAUUAAAGUUUCUUACUUACACUGACUGGGCUUUCAUCUUUUAUUUAUCUAAGUAUAAGCUUAUCCAUAUAUAAGGCUGGCUGCAAACUCCUUCACAAAUAGAAGUAUACUCCAUAAAUGCACUUAACAGAUCCCUUUUCUACUUUUAAUGUUUGUAGAAGCAUAAGAAAAAAAAUUCAAAGGUAAGAGUUUUAUGAUAGAAGUUUUAAUUUGUGAACUUGGGAAAAGCUGUUUACAUCAAGGAUGCCAUCUUCUUGGGAGAAAUCUCCCUGGUUAGCUUCACCUCAAGGGUUCCAAUGGCUGCACAGUUCCAAAAAUGUGGAGGGACCCUUAUCAAAACCCGUUAACCUAAAGCCCAAAGUCCUGACAUUUUGUUGUAGUGUGGGUGGCAAGGACAGUUUUUCUCCUAUGUUCUCAGAAGAUUUAAACCAUAAAAAGCUUUUUUACCUGCUGGAAAUAUACUGUAGCAUAAUAAUCUCAGCCUCCUUGCAUAGUAAAGCUUUUAUACAACAGAAAACAUGCAUUGAAAAUAACAACUGAAUGAAAUCCCUUUAUAAAAUGUUUAAAUGGCCCACCAGGUGACCAAAUAUACCUGAAGCUUUAAUUGUAUUGUAUUGUUUUGGUAUUUAAUUUUUGUUUUACUUGUGUUAGUAGGUCAGUAGCUUUAUACAAGGAAAUUUGAUUAUUUCUGCAGUUUAUAAUAACAUAAUAACCAUAAUUAUAAUUGACAGCAUAUACUAUUUUAGAAAUCUCAUACAGUUUUGGAACAUAUAUUAGUAUUAUUCACAAAAAUAUAACCUAAAGCAGAUUGAACAUCAUUUUAGCAAUCACAUGUACCCAAACAUGUCAAAUAAUCCUGUUUACCUCCUUUCUGAAUGUUUUCAGUGGCCCUCUGAUCCAUCCAAAAAGCCAGGCAUUAGGAAACAAGCAUGUAUGUGAAAUUUGGCUUUACAUUAUAUCCAGCUUCAUGCUUAACUAUAUUUAAAAAAAUAAUUGCCAAACUGCUGAUGCAUUUUUACAAUACUUUUUAUUUUACUUUAAUCAAAACUAACAGCUUUAUGAAAAUGUUUAAUUAGCCAAACGUCUCCAAUUCUUUAUCAGGGUUUAAAAAAUAUUUUAUGAUUUAAACUUUUCCCACAUUUUUUGCCUAAUGAUUCCUUACUACAUUGUUUUAUGAAUAACCUUUUUAAAUCUGUAAUUUGAACCAACUUUUAGAUAACUAUUGAAUUAGACAAAACUAUUCUCUUUUUUUUUCAUGAAUAACAUAACCCUUUCUGGUACAUUUGGUAUACAGAAUUACAUGUUAAAUAGAAACCUGAAACUUUAGUGAAACCCUAAAAAACAAAAAAUCCUGAACUAAUGGAUAUGGACAAUUCCGCAACUUUAGAAGAGACUUCGGAUAGAAUGGAAGAAGGCAGGCUCACCCUAAGUAGCUCCCAGCUUGAAUUAACACUGACAUUUAAAAAUAUUUAGCAAAGACAAACAUAAAAUUCAGACAAAAUGUAUGCUGAUAAUUAUGAAGGCAUUUAUAUUUUUAUUCCACCAAUAAUUUUAAAGCUAGCUUGUUUAGUAAAGUUAUACUUUAAGUCACAUGAACUUGAAAAUUGCUUAGACUUACUUAUGAGUGCUCUUUUACUUAUAAGCCAAUUUGGUAGACAUAACAUAUAACAGUAAGUGUACAUGCAAAUAAAGACAUCUAGACAUGUAUACACACACAUAAAUGAAGACUCAAUAGCUUGGAACCUUAGCCAUGAGAUAGCAAUAGAAACUUACUGGUUUUACUUUGCCCCAGUAGAUAAUCCAAUGAAGGCUGUGAACCAAAAUUUUGGGUAAAGCAGUCUCCAUGGCAGUUUGAUUUUUAAAGGCCAAACCUCCCCAGAAUCCAAAGAGCACUGGGGCCAAACCAUACCAAAGGAGGGCAUCACACAUUAACCAGGUCCCCUGCUUGGAACCACAGCACAAAAGCCUGCAUAGAUACAAUGCCAUUCCACUUUUCCAUUCAACAGUAAACUCCAAAUUCCAAACAAUGUUGGGGCCAAACAGCAUUGCAACUAUGAGAGAAAAUUCCAAGGAGGGUUUAGUACCAGACCUCAGAACCUCUGCCAAGAACGUCCCCUUUGGGAAGGUUGAGGUCCGCAGGACCCACAGAGUAUCCUCCUGUGGAUCCGAUCUCAGUGUCAGAUGUCUCUGACCUUAGGUGGGCACCUCCAGAGCACACUAUAAGCUUUAUAAAAAUAGCCAUGAACUGCAAUGAGAACUGGAUGCCGGGUGGGCCUUUUUGUUCCGUAGCCAGUUGAGUACGGUAAGGGAAGAAUUUAGCAUAAGAAGGUUUAAGUCCCUUAAAACAUGUGCGAGUUUGCUCUGAACUGCGCCACACAUAGGGAUCGGGGACCACGUGCAGAAAAGAUAAAAAAAAAAGUCAUUCCCCCUUCUGGGCAGGGCAAUUAUAAACAGCGACUUAAAGACUGAGAAAUAAAGGAAAAAAAAAUGAAAAAGACCCAGGUUCCUUAAGCAAACCAGGAGGUGGCAGUCAGCCUUCUCUGCACGGAAACCCAUUAGUUUCACAGGCCACAGCCAGAAACCUGCAGUUGCCUCCACGUUUAGGUGCUGCCCACCAAGUGUUCCAAGUUGGAAAUGAAAAGAGAAAGCUCUUGUAUGGAGCAGAAAGGAAAGAGAGAAAAAUGAAUCCCAAACUUUGGGCUUACUUCUUCCUCCUGGCUGGCCAAAAUAUACGUUACCAGUUGUAGGUGUCCAGGUCCUUGACGUCUUUAACAAAGAAUUGGACAAAACGCACAAAGCAAGGAAGGCAUGAAGUGAUUUAUUGAAAAUGAAAAUACACUCCACAGUGUGGGAAAAAGCCCAAGCGUAGGGGCUCAAAGGCCCCAUUACAGAAUUUUUGGGAGUUUAAAUACCCCCUAGUAUGCCCUAUGUAAAUGGAGAGGAUGAAAUAAAGUUACAAAGUUAUUUAUGGCCCAUGCCCUAUGGAAAGGUGAAGUGUGAAGUGGUCUUAUGUUUUCUGCCUCCAGACUCUAUUUUCCUGCCUCAAUAUAAUGGGGGAGUCUCUUCAACAAAUUGUGUUACAAAAACUGAAUAUCCAUAUUCAGAGGAAUAAAACUAGACCUCUAUCUCUUGCCAUCUAAAAAAAAUUAAAUCAAAACGGAUUAGAGACAAAUCUAAGACAUCAAACUAUGAAACUACUACAAAAAACAUUGGUGAAACUCUCCAGGAAAUUAAACUGAACAAAGAUGUCUUGAGUAAUACCCCACAAGCACAGGCAGCCAACGCAAAAAUGAACAAAUGGAAUCACAUCAGUUAACGAGCUUCUAAACAGGAAGUGAAACAAUCAACAAAGUGAAGAGACAACACAUAAAAUGGGAGAAAAUAUCUGGAAACUGCCUAUAAGGAAUUAAUAACAAGAAUACAUAAGGCACACAAACAGCUCUAUAGGAUAAAAUCUGAUGAUAAAUAAGCAAAAAAUUUGAAUAGAAAUUUCUCAAAAGAGAGCCUACAAAUAACAAAAAGCCAUAUGACAGGGUGCUCAACAUUAUUUAUCAUCAGAGAAAUGCAAAUCAAAAUGACAAUGAGAUAUUAUCUCACCCCAGUUACAAUGGCUUUUAUCCAAAAGUCAGGUGAUUAAUAAAUGCUGGUGAGGAUGUGGAGAAAAGUGAAAGUUGAACUCUAGUACUCUCUUGGUGGGAAUGUAAAUUACUACAAUGACCAUGGAGACCAGUUUAGAGGUUCCUCAAAAAAUGAAAAAUAAAGCUACAAUAUUAUCCAGCAAUCCCAUUGCUAGGUAUGUACAUAAAAGAAAGGAAAUCAGGACAUCAGAGAGAUAUUUGAAGCUCCAUUUUCACUGCAGCAGUGUUCACAUUAGCCAAAAUUUAGAAGCAACCUAAGUGUCCCUUACAUGAAUGGACAAAGUAAAUGUGGUGCACAUACAUAACAGAGUACUUUUCAAUCAUAAAAAAGAACAAGAUCCCAUCAUCUUCAACAACAUGGAUGGAACUAGAGGUCAUUAUGUUAAGAAAAAUAAGCCAAGCACAUGAAGGCAAACGUUGCAUGUUCUCACACAUUUGCUGGAGCUAAAAUUAAACUAAUUCAUAGAGACAGAGAGCAGAAGGAUUGUUACCAGAGGCUGGAAAGUGUAGCAGGGGACUGGGGGAAGUGGGGAAGAUUAAUGGGUAGAAAAAUAAUUAGAAAGAGUAAGAUGUAGCAGUUGCUAGUACACAGAGUGACUAUAGUCAAAAGCAAUUUAAUUGUACAUUUUUAAAUAACUAAAAGAAUGUAGUUAGGUUGUCUGUAAAACAAAGAAUAAACACUUGAGGUAAUGAAUACCCAUUUACCCUGAUAUGAUUUUUAUGCAUUUCAUGCCUACAUCAAAAUAUCUCAUGUAACCCAUAGAUACAAAAAGCUACUGUGUACUCAUAAAAAUUUAAAAUCCUGAACCAUAUACAAAAACUAUCUUGAAUAAAUUAAAUAUUUAAAUGUAAGAAGCAUAACUCUACAAUUUUUGGAAGAAAAUACAGGAAGAAAGAUUAUGACAUUGGUCUUGGCAAUGUUUUCUUGCAUAUAGCAUCAACUACAUGAGUAACAAAUUUAAAAACACAGAAAAAUGGACUACAUUAAAUUUAUCUCUGAACAUUAAAAUAAACAUUUAGUCAGUCCCGAGUAAGAAAAAAAAAAGUAAAAAGUAUACAUUUGACAGAAGUUAACACCCAGAAUAAACUCCAAAAAGUCAACAAAGAGUAAGUAAUAUGAUUAACAAAUGAACAGGAGGUGAAAAUGUUUCUCCAAAGAAUAAAUACACACAGCAAACAAUUAUUGAAAAAAUUUUUAAUCUUUAGAAAAAUGUAAAGCAAAACCACAAUGAGGUAUUAUCGUGUAUUAAUUGGAAUGGCCAAUAUCAAGCAAACAAAAAAUAACAAAUGUCAACAAUGUAGAUGAAUUGAAACCCUUGUGCACUGCUGGUGGGAAGAAAGUGAUGCAGCCCCUAAAAAAUGUAUAGGGGUUCCUCCAAAAAAAAAAUGAAGUUAUUCUAUGACCCACUAAUUCUACUUCUGAGCAUCCUAUUCAAAAUAUGCAAAGUAUAUCUGACAGAAAUAUUUGCACAUCCAUGUUUACUGCAGCAAUAUUCACUGUAUUAGUUUAUUCUUGCAUUGCUAUAAAUACCUGAGACUAGGUAAUUUUUUUUUUUAGAAAAAGGUUUAAUUGGCUCGUGGUUCUGCAGGCUGUACAGGAAGCAUAGCAGCUUCUGUUUCUAGAGAGGCCUCAAAAAGCUUCCAAUUAUGGUAGAAAGCAAACAAAGAGUGAGUCACCUCACAUAGUGGGAGCAGGAGCAAGAGACAGUGAAAGGAGAGGUGCCACAUGCUUUUAAAAAAUGAGAUCUCAGGAGAACAAACUCACUAUGCCAAAGACAGUACCAAAGGGGAUGGUGUUAACCAUUCAUGAGAAGCCAACCCUACCAUCCCAUCACCUCCCACCAGGCCCACCUCCAACACUAGGGACUGCAACUUGACAUGAGAUUUGAAUGGGGACCCAGAUCCAAACUAUAUCACUUACAAAAGCCAAAAAGUGAAAAAACUCAAACACCCUUCAAUAGAUGAAUGAUUUAAAAAGAUGUGGCUUAUACAUACAAUGAAAUAUUCCUUAGCUUCAAAUGAAAAUAUCUUGUCAGAUGCUACAAUAAGGAUAAAUCUUAAAGCCAUUAUUUUAAGUGAAAUAAGAUACUAAUAAAGUGACAGUGUAUGAUUCCACUUAGGUAAGAUAUCUUAAGUAGUAAACUCACAGAAAACACAAGUAGAAAGGUGCUUGCCUUUGGCUAGGGUUGUGAAACCUCAGUGGAGCCAAAGAUCAAGUAGGGAUAUUUGGAAAAAGCAGGGCCUCACCCAGGUGGCCAACUCAAGAGCCCAUAGACAUGGCUGCAGAUAAAACAUGGCACACUAAGCUUGGUCUUACUAAGGAUGCUGAAGCAGUUCUGCAACCUGUCUCAAACUCCUCUCAGCUACAGUACACAAGUGGUCCUUCCUAUCAAGAGACCUGCAAGGAGACACACCCAGCCAUGGACCUGGAGGCAGCUUCUAUCUUAACAUAUUACUAAAAAUUUGUAUGAGAACAAUUAGGCAAGGAAAAGGAAAACGAAGCUCUCCAGCUUUGGGAAAGAAAUAAAAACAUUACUGUCUGUAGAUUAUAUAAUCAUGCACAUAUAUAUAACUCUAGAGUAAAUGAACAAAAACUCAAUAAAUGCAUUCAUUAAAGCAUCAGGAUACAUAAUCUUGUGAAAGGAAAAUAAAUCUUGGAACUCUUGGGGCCCCCAAAAUCACUAAGCUAAACCGUCAAGCUGGGUACUGCCUAGGGCAAACCUGCCUCCCAUUCUAUUCAAAGUCAUCCCUCUGCUCACUGAGAUAAAGGGACAUCUGAUUGCCUCCUUUGGACAGACAAAUCAGAAACUCAAAAGAAUGCAGCAGUUUGUCUCUCAUGUACCUGUGACCUAGAAACACUAUCCCUGCUUAAGCUGUCCUGCCUUUCAAGAUGGAACCAAUGUACAUCUUACACAUAUUGAUUUAUGUCUCAUGUCUCCUUAAAAUGUAUAAAACCAAGCUGUGCCCAAACCACCUUGGGCACACGUCAUCAAGACUUCCUAAGGCUGUGUCAGGGGCACGUGUCCUAAACCUUGACAAAAUAAACUUUUUUUUUUUUUUUUUUAAGACAAGAGUCUCACUCUGUCUCCAGGCUGGAGUAGUGGUGCAAUCUCAGCUCACUGUAAUUUCCACCUCCUGGGUUCAAGUGAUUCUCCUGCCUCAGCCUCCCUAGUAGCUGGGACUACAGGCGCGUGCCACCACGCCCAGCUAAUUUUUGUAUUUUUAGUAGAGAUGGGGUUUCACCACGUUGGCCAGGAUGGUCUUGAUCUCUUGACCUUGUGAUCCACCCACCUUAGCCUCCCAAAGUACUGGGAUUACGGUCGUGAGCCACUGUGCCUGGCCAGCAAAAUAAACUUUCUACAUUAACUGAGACCUGUCUCAGAUUUUCAGAGUUAAUACUCUGUUGCCCAGGUUCAUCUUAAACUCCUAUGCUCAAGUGAUCUAUCAGCCUUGGCCUCUGAAAGUGCUGGGAUUACAGAAAUGAGUCACUGGAACUGGCCCAACAUAAAAAUAUGUGUUGCAUUUCCAAAUAGUAACAACAAACUUUCCAAAAACAAACAAACAAAAAAGAAACAAUUUUCAUUUGCAACAAUUUAAAAAUAAAAAAUUUAAUCAUAGUAAAUUUAACCGAUGAGAUUAAAUAUGUAUACACUAAAUACAAUAAGAUGUUAAUGACAGAAAUUUCAGUAGACACAAAUAAAUGGAAAAAUAUUCCAUUAGAAUAACUAAUACUGUCAAAGUACCGUAUUAUCAUAAGUGAUCUAUAUAUUCAAAGUGAAAAUUUUAGUGUCAUUUUUCACAGUAAUAGAAAACACAAUUUUGAAACUUAAGUGUAACCUUAAACAACUUUAACACUGAUUGGCUGGGCACGGUGGCUCACGCCUGUAAUCCCCAGCACUUUGGGAGGCCGAGGUGGGCAGAUCACGAGGUCAGAUAGAGACCAUCCUGGCUAACAUGGUGAAACCCCAUCUCUACUAAAAAUACAAAAAAUUAGCCGGGCGUGGUGGCGGGCACCUGUAGUCCCAGCUACUUGGGAGGCUGAGGCAGGAGAAUGGUGUGAACCCGGGAGGCAGACCUUGCAGUGAGUAGAUAUCGCGCCACUGCACUCCAGCCUGGGUGACAGCGAGACUCCAUCUCAAAAACAAAACAAAACAAAACAAAACAAAAAAACUUUAACAUUGAUUGAUGGUGAUUGUUAGUGCCUGAGGGUGGAAAAUACGGAAAUGUUGUUCAAAGAGUACAAAUUUUUAGUUGUAACUUGAGUAACUCUGAAAAAUCUAAAGUACAUUCAGCAUUAGAUCAGCAAAAUAGCAUUAUUUAUAGUUAGUAAUACUGUAAUGUAUGCUUACAAUUUGCUACAACAGUAGACCUUAAGUGUUCUUACUACAAAAAAACUGGUUAUCUACCUGAGGUAAUAGAUGUGUUCACUAACUUGACUAUAUUUUAUUUUACAAUGUAUAUACAUAUCAAAUCAUUAUACUGUACACAUUAUACAAUUUUUAUUUAUCAGAAAAAUCCAGGUUGCACAUGUAUGUACAGUAAGUCCUCACUUUAUGUUCAAAAUAGGUUCAUGAAAAGUGCAUCUUUAAAUGAACAUUGUUGCUAUAUGUCAUG